UCCCUGAUGGUCCACUGGUUAGGACUCGGCACUUCCACUGCUGUGCGCCCAGGUUCAAUCCCUGGUCAGGGAA